GACGAACGCUGGCGGCGUGCUUAACACAUGCAAGUCGAACGGAAAGGCCCUGCUUUUGUGGGGUGCUCGAGUGGCGAACGGGUGAGUAACACGUGAGUAACCUGCCCUUGACUUUGGGAUAACGUCAGGAAACUGGGGCUAAUACCGGAUAGGAGCUCCUGCUGCAUGGUGGGGGUUGGAAAGUUUCGGCGGUUGGGGAGGGACUCGCGGCUUAUCAGCGUGCUGGUGGGGUAGAGGCUUACCAAGGCUUUGACGGGUAGCCGGCCUGAGAGGGUGACCGGCCACCUUGGGCCUGCGGUACGGCCCAGACUCCUACUGGGGGCAGCAGUGGCGAAUCUUGCCCAAUGGGCGGACGCCUGAUGCAGCAACGCCGCGUUUGUGAUGACGGCCUUCGGGUUGUAAACCGCUUUCGCCUGUGACGAAGCGUGAGUGACGGUAAUGGGUAAAGAAGCACCGGCUAACUACGUG
rnacentral:rRNA from 1 species